CCUACGGGUGGCAGCAGUGGGGAAUAUUGGACAAUGGGCGAAAGCCUGAUCCAGCCAUGCCGCGUGUGUGAAGAAGGCCUUCGGGUUGUAAAGCACUUUCAGUGGGGAAGAAAGCCUUGGGGCUAAUACCCUCGAGGAAGGACAUCACCCACAGAAGAAGCACCGGCUAACUCCGUGCCAGCAGCCGCGGUAAUACGGAGGGUGCGAGCGUUAAUCGGAAUUACUGGGCGUAAAGCGCGCGUAGGCGGUCUGAUAAGCCGGUUGUGAAAGCCCCGGGCUCAACCUGGGAACGGCAUCCGGAACUGUCAGGCUAGAGUGUAGGAGAGGGAGGUAGAAUUCCCGGUGUAGCGGUGAAAUGCGUAGAGAUCGGGAGGAAUACCAGUGGCGAAGGCGGCCUUCUGGACUGACACUGACGCUGAGGUGCGAAAGCGUGGGUAGCAAACAGGAUUAGAUACCCGAGUAGUC
rnacentral:rRNA from 1 species